CCCCCCCCGGGCGGGGGUCGCGCUCACCGGGGCGGGGGGGCCAUGGCGGGGCCGGACGGAGCCGGAGCGGAUCCCGGAGCUCUUCCUCCUCCUCCUCCUCCUCCUCCUCCUCCUCCUCCUCCUCCUCCUGCCGCUCCGGGGGGGGCGGCGCCGCGCGGGGGGACGGCCCCCGGGCCUUCCUCCCCACCCUCCUCAUCGUCAUCGGCGGCGGCGGCGGCGGCGGCGGCUCCUACCCGGCCUUCCUCCCCAUCAUCAUCAUCAUCAUCGUCAUCUUCAUCGCCCCCGGCCUUCCUCCCCACCCUCAUCUUCAUCACCGUCCUCAGCAUGGGCACCCCCGGCCUUCCUCUUCGUCACCCUCAUCAUCCUCAUCCUCGUCCCCGCCAUCCCGGGCCUUCCUCAUCCUCCUCAUCCUCCUCAUCUUCAUCAAGCCCAGCAGCCCCAGCCUUCCUCAUCCUCCUCAUCGUCAUCGUCAUCAUCUUCAUCCCAACGUCAUCCGCUGGCCCCGCCAUCUUCAUCUUCAUCUUCAUCUUCAUCCUCAUCCUCGUCUUCGUCUUCAUCUUCAUCUUCAUCCUCCAUCUUCAUCCUCAUCUUCAUCUUCAUCUUGAUCUUCAUCUUCAUCCUCGUCUUCAUCUUCUUCAUCUUCAUCUUCAUCGUCACCUUCCUCAUCAUCAUCGUCAAUGCAAAAAUCCCAAAAACGCCAAAACUUCCCCGAAAUCCCCAAAAACUCCAAAAAUUCCCAAAAUCCCCCAAAAAAUCCCCAAAAAUCCAAAAAAAAUCCCCAAAAAAUCCCCAAAAAAUCUCCCAAAAAAAUCCCCAAAAAAUCCCCAAAAAAAUCCCCCAAAAUCCAAAAAAAUCCCCCAAAAAAAUCCCCAAAAAAAUCCCCAAAAAUCCCCCAAAAAAAUCCCCAAAAAAAUCCCCAAAAAUCUCCCCAAAAAAUCCCCAAAAAAUCCCCAAAAAUCUCCCAAAAAAAUCCCAAAAAAAUCCCAAAAAAAAUCCCCAAAAAUCUCCAAAAUCCCCCAAAAUGCCAAACGCUCCGAAAGCCCCGAACCCAAAAACUCCAAAAAACCCAAAAAAAUCCCCCAAAAAUCCCCCCAAACAUCCAAAAAAAUCCAAAAUCUCAAAAACCCAAAAAAAUCGAAAAACUACCAAAAAAAAAACCCCAAAAAAUCCCCCAAAAAAUCCCCCAAACAGCCCAAAAAAUCCAAAACCUCAAAAAACCCCCAAAAAAAUCCAAAAACUCAAAAAUCCCCAAAUUCCCCCAAACCCCCCCAAAAUCCCCAAAAUCUCCAAAUUCCCCAAAUCUCCCCAAAAUCCCGAAACCCCACCAAAAUCCCCAAAUUCUCUCAAAUUCCCCCAAAUUUCCUGAAAAUCCCCCGAAUUCCCCCAAACUCCCCCAAAUUUCUCCAAUUUCCCCCAAAAUCCCCAAACUCCCCAAAUUUCCCCAAAUUCCCCAAAAUCCCCCAACUCCCCAAAUUUCCCCAAAUUUCCCCAAAUUCUCCCAAAUUUCCCCAAAUUCUCCCAAAUCCCCCAAACUCCCCAAAUUCCUUCAAACUCCCCAAAUUUCCCCAAAUUCCCCCAAAACCCCCAAAAUCCCCAAAACCCCCCAAAUCCCCCAACUCCCCAAAUUUCCCCAAAUUCUCCCAAAUUCUCCCAAAUUCCCCAAAUUUCCCCAAAAUCCCCAAAACCCCCAAACUCCCCAAAAUCCCCAAAAUCCCCAAAUUCUCCCAAAUUCCCCAAAAUCCCCAAAAUCCCCAAAUUUCCCCAAAUUCCCCCAAACUCCCCAAACUCCCCAAACUCCCCAAAAUCCCUAAAAUUUCCCCAAUUUCCCCCAAAAUCCCCAAAUUCCCCAAACCUCCCCAAAAUCCCGAAACCCCACCAAACUCCCCAAAUUCCCAAAAUCCCCCCAAACUCCCCAAAUUCCCCAAACUCCCCAAAAUCCCCAAAUUUCCCCAAAAUUCCCCCAAAUCCCCCAAAUUCCCCAAAUUUCCCCAAAUUCCCCAAAUCCCCAAAUUCCCCCAAAUUCCCCAAAUUUCCCCAAAUUCCCCCAAAUCCCCCAUCCCCCCCCCGCGUUUCCCUUUCCCGCCGCCGGGCGGCGCGCG
ensembl:lncRNA